rnacentral:lncRNA from 1 species
CAAUUAAUCAGUUUUGAUACAGAUCCAGAUGACCAAAGUAAAACAUACAAAAUCUGAUUUUUUUCCUUAAAAACCACUGUUUAUUUUCAUCAUUAUUAUUAUUUUUAUUCGAGUUUAAAAGAAAAGUAUAAAUUUCCUAGUUAACUGCCCAUAUAAUUGCAUUUUAAUCUUUAUAAAUUAUAAUGCGAACUCAAACGUAUUAAUUACGUGUAUGUCCAGAGAUCUUUUAGAAGUUAUUUAUGAGAGGAGAAAUUUCUUUUACUUUAUUAUUUGAUAGAUGAGGAUACUGUUGAGGUCCCGUUGAUUGGUUCAAUCUCUGUAGCUACCGUUUUUACGGUCGUCUACCAGAGAUAGAAUCGAGCCAAGAGGAGAUUGAAUUGAAAGGAAAAUGGAGCAAGGGAGGAAAGGCCUCUUUUACAAAUCCCGGCCACCCAAAGCGUAGACUUUCCCUUCACCAGUCACGACUAAGAUGGUAAGAAAAAAACAGGAUUAGAGAAUCUAGUGACUAGAAGUAUUGACACGUCGCCCUCAAAGGAUACAACCAUCCUGAAUAUACAAGGCUCUCUAUCUUUUUCGAAUUUUAAUACCGAGGAACUGCCAAGUUUGAAAAGAUUACCCAACUAGUUUUCGUAUGUGGGGUUCUUCUCGGUUAAACACACUACUCCCCGUACAAAAGCCCGCUAUCGUUUCAUUUAAAACUAGUACACACCUUAUUUUGGUAUCGAUUUUAUAUUCUUCCUUUACUUUAAGGAUCCUACAGUUAUGUAAUGUAGAGGCCAUAUUGUUUAUUACAUCGAUAAUAUUAAUCCCAUAUCGAUUACUUUCGAUAGAUAUGAUGUGAGAUAAGAC